rnacentral:rRNA from 1 species
AUUGAACGCUGGCGGCAUGCCUAACACAUGCAAGUCGAACGAGAUCUUCGGGUCUAGUGGCGCACGGGUGCGUAACGCGUGGGAAUCUGCCCUUUGGUUCGGAAUAACAGUUGGAAACGACUGCUAAUACCGGAUGAUGACGAAAGUCCAAAGAUUUAUCGCCAGAGGAUGAGCCCGCGUAGGAUUAGCUAGUUGGUGUGGUAAAGGCGCACCAAGGCGACGAUCCUUAGCUGGUCUGAGAGGAUGAUCAGCCACACUGGGACUGAGACACGGCCCAGACUCCUACGGGAGGCAGCAGUGGGGAAUAUUGGACAAUGGGCGAAAGCCUGAUCCAGCAAUGCCGCGUGAGUGAUGAAGGCCUUAGGGUUGUAAAGCUCUUUUACCCGGGAUGAUAAUGACAGUACCGGGAGAAUAAGCUCCGGCUAACUCCGUGCCAGCCGCCGCGGUAACAC